rnacentral:lncRNA from 1 species
UGGCUACAUAUCUGUCUGAGGAACAAUAGCUACCUGUAUUCUGCACGGGCUGCUGGGCAGGCACUAGCAAGCAGGAGAAGGUCUGCCUCCGCUAGAGCCUCGCUAGUGGGAAUCCCUACUGACAGCCCUGCUUCGCACUGGGGAGGGGGGAAGCAGAACCUUGUCUGCUCGUUGACAAGGGACAGAGCUUUGAUCGCUCUUCUCCAGCCCUGACUUGGCCCGAGGUUUAGAUCCCCAGUCCCGAAGUCCACGGGCUCUCCUCACUCCUGCACGCACCCACUCGCACACACCCCUUUGCCGACAGAUCCGUGUCACGGCUGUAACUGAGGCACACAGCAAUAAACAUAGCAGAACCAAUCUCCAUGGUGGCAAGAGGGGGCACUGGAGGUGACAACAAUGGAGAAGGAUCUUUCUGCUGACAAGUUUUAGGAUUUGCUGACAGAGCCCCAAAGAUGCCAGAGAUCAUCCUCAUCUCGCCGUGCGCUCUCUCCACAGAUGGCUGGGGCUCAUGGAGCCAUCACUGCCCCUCCAAUGCAGCCUGCACUUCAAGGGGCUUCACUCCAAGUGCCGCAGGCCUCCAGGCUGAGACACAGCUUUGACAUAAUUUCCCCUACCUCAUCACCUGCAACUGAACUGUUUCCAGCACUUGAAUGAGUCAGAACUCUCAGAACAUAUUUUCCUAUCUUAUGCUAAAUCUGAAAGACCUCAAAGUAAGUCCCUAUUUGAAUGAUUUCUCUUGAGUGGAAUUAGAAAUUGAGAAUGUCCCCGUGGGGAAUGUAUAGCGGGGGAAUAGGGAAUAUAUACACACAGGAUUAUACAGAGGGAACAUUUUAAGUAAGAUUUUAUUUAUAAUAGAUGAUUGUGUGUUCUACAUUU